UACGGAGGGUGCAAGCGUUAUCCGGAUUUACUGGGUUUAAAGGGUGCGUAGGUGGGUUGGUGAGUCAGUGGUGAAAUACUUUCGCUUAACGAAGGAACUGCCAUUGAUACUACCAGCCUUGAAUACAGUGGAGGUGGGCGGAAUGCGUCAUGUAGCGGUGAAAUGCUUAGAUAUGGACGCAGAACACCAAUUGCGAAGGCAGCUGCUACGCUGUUAUUGACACUGAGGCACGAAAGCGUGGGGAUCAAACAGG
rnacentral:rRNA from 1 species